UACGUAGGGGGCUAGCGUUGUCCGGAAUCAUUGGGCGUAAAGCGCGUGUAGGCGGUCCGGUAAGUCCGCUGUGAAAGUCGGGGGCUCAACCCUCGGAUGCCGGUGGAUACUGUCGGGCUUGAGUACGGAAGAGGCGAGUGGAAUUCCUGGUGUAGCGGUGAAAUGCGCAGAUAUCAGGAGGAACACCACUUGCGAAGGCAGCUCGCUGGGACGUUACUGACGCUGAGGCGCGAAAGCGUGGGGAGCAAACAGG
rnacentral:rRNA from 1 species